rnacentral:rRNA from 1 species
UUUGUCCUACGGGACGCAGCAGUGAGGAAUAUUGGUCAAUGGUCGGGAGACUGAACCAGCCAAGCCGCGUGAGGGAUGAAGGUACAGAGUAUCGUAAACCUCUUUUGUCAGGGAACAAAGGCGGGGACGUGUCCCCGGAUGAGUGUACCUGAAGAAAAAGCAUCGGCUAACUCCGUGCCAGCAGCCGCGGUAAUACGGAGGAUGCGAGCGUUAUCCGGAUUUAUUGGGUUUAAAGGGUGCGUAGGCGGACAGUCAAGUCAGCGGUAAAAAUGCGGUGCUCAACGCCGUACAGCCGUUGAAACUGG